GGACGAACGCUGGCGGCGUGCCUAUUACCUGCGAGUCGAACGAACUCUGGUAUUGACUGGUGCUAGCUUCAUGAUUUACAUUUGAGUGAGUGGCCAACUGGGGAGUAACACUUGGGAAACCUGCCCAGAAGCGGGGGAUAACACCUGGAAACAGAUGCUAAUACCGCAUAACAGCUUGGACCGCAUGGUCCGAGUUUGAAAGAUGGCUUCGGCUAUCACUUUUGGAUGGUCCCGCGGCGUAUUAUCUAGAUGGUGGGGUAACGGCUCACCAUGGCAAUGAUACGGGUUGCACCUGAGAGGGUAAUCGGCCACAUUGGGACUGACACACGGCCCAAACUCCUACGGGAGGCAUGUCUUAGGAAUCUUCCACAAUGGACGAAAGUCUGAUGGAUCAACGCCGCGUGAGUGAACAAGGGUUUCGGCUCGUAAAACUCUGUUGUUAAAGAAGAACAUAUCUGAGAGUAACUGUUCAGGUAUUGACGGUAUUUAACCAGAAAGCCACGGCUAACUACGUGCCAGCAGCCGCGGUAAUACGUACUUGGCACUGAUGGCCGGAUUCACUGCAACGUAAAGCGAGCGCUCGUGGUUUUUUAAGACUGAUGUGAUAUCCCAUCGGCGUCACGCUACGAAUUGCAUCGAGACCCUGGGAUACGUGACAUGACCGAAGAGACGGCUGUCAGCUACAUGUGUAGCGUGAAAUGCGUAGAUAUAUGAGAACACCAGUGGCGAAGGCGGCUGUCUGGUCUGUAACUGACGCUGAGGCUCGAAAGUAUGGGUAGCAAACAGGAUUAGAUACCAUGGUAGUCCAUACGUAAACGAUGAAUGAUAAGUGUUGGAGGGUUUCCGCCUUUCAGUGCUGCAGCUAACGCAUUAAGCAUUCCGCGUGGGGAGUACGGCCGCAAGGCUGAAACUCAAAGGAAUUGACGGGGGCCCGCACAAGCGGUGGAGCAUGUGGUUUAAUUCGAAGAUCCGUGAAGAACCUUACCAGGUCUUUACAUCAUAUGCAAAUCUGAGAGAUUAGAUGUUCCCUUCGGGGACAUGGAUACAGGUGGUGCAUGGUUGUCGUCAGCUCGUGUCGUGAGAUGUUGGGUUAAUUCCCGCAGCGAGCGCAACCCUUAUUAUCAGUACCCAGCAUUAAGUUGGGCACUCUGGUGAGCCAUCCGGAGACAACCGGGAGGAAGCCGUGGAUGAAGUCAAAUCCUCAUGCUCCUUAUGACUUGGGGUACACACGUGCUACAAUGGAUGGUAUCCCGAGUUGCGAACUCAGGAGAGUAAGGUAAUCUUCUAAAGCCAUUCUCACUUUGGAAUGUAGGAUGCAACUGGCGCACACGAAGUCGGAAUAGAUAGUAAUCGCGGAUCAGCAUGCCGUGGUGAACACGUUCCCGGGCCUUG
rnacentral:rRNA from 1 species